UUCGGUGGUCAUAGCGUGAGGGAAACGCCCGGUUACAUUCCGAACCCGGAAGCUAAGC
rnacentral:rRNA from 2 species